AUUCAGUUUAGAACGUGGGCCUGAACGAGCCGGUUCGCUACUUGUCGGCACAACGAGCAAUGUAACAAUAGAAAAAGAUAUAGAUAAGAAUUAAAGCAGAAGCCCAGAGACGGCAAAGUAAAUCUCAAAAAUAUAAAUUAUGACUGUCAAGUAUUGCGCAGCUAAGGAAAUUAUUGCUAUUUUUAGUAAAAUGGCACAGGCGAAUUAAAAAAGUGCGUUUGUGAUUGGAAAGUGUUGACUAAGUGGAAAUAAGCGAUAGGUUGAGGUAAAAAAGGCAAGGCGAAGCGGCAGCUGUGCAAGUUUGAGUGAAAAUCGUUCUACCAUUUAGGCAUACACAUCAGUGUUCAGUGUGUGUGUUAGUGCAGUUAUUAAUCUAGCGGUGGUCUUCUAGAGAAAAAAUUCAAAACCACGAAGCGCAUAAAUUUUAAUUAAACGCACAGGCGCUCGUGUUUUCCGCGCCUAAGCUCACGGUUUCCGUCACUCGAACAACGUCAUCAUCAGCAAUAUCCGUUGAGAUAGUUUAAAGAGAACAAGGAUCCGGAACGUGCCUCUGGGAAAACAGCGAAAGCAGCUUCGCUAUAAAUUUCUAAAUGCAGACGAUCAGAAUCUUCCUCGAUUGGAGACCAGGGUAACUCCUUAAUUUAGCUUUGUGCUUUCUACGCGUGCCUUGUGAUGACCAAAAGACUUCAAAAGCUCAAAUGAGAUCAAGAUGAUCCACUUCAGUGAAUACCAGCAAGAGGCUUUGUUGUUAGCGAACAAUUCGUACCAUUUUGCGGUGGAUUUCCAGCACUUGCAUAUAAGGAAGAAAACAGACACCACAUAAUUAUAUCUUAUGCCGACAUGUAACUCAAAUCUUAAUAUUAAUAAAAGUGCAAUAAGUAAAA